rnacentral:rRNA from 1 species
UGCCAGCCGCCGCGGUAAUACGGAGGUCCCAAGCGUUGUUCGGAUUCACUGGGCGUAAAGGGUGCGUAGGUGGCUGGGAAAGUUUGAUGUGAAAGCUCCGGGCUCAACCCCGGAAGUGCAUUGGAAACUGGCGAACUUGAGUACGGGAGAGGAAAGUGGAAUUCCGAGUGUAGGGGUGAAAUCCGUAGAUAUUCGGAGGAACACCAGUGGCGAAGGCGGCUUUCUGGACCGAUACUGACGCUGAGACGCGAAAGCGUGGGGAGCAAACAGGAUUAGAUA